GUGAAAGGGCCAUCUGUUUUAAAGUCGUUAGCUGUCAUAUGGACAACAAUCACAGUCGUUUGAAUUAUAUUAUCUUAUGUCGGGGUCCCUACAACAGUGUUCUUACAGAUAUUCAAAAAAUGUACCAAAAUGUAAAAAAAAUGCAUUGAGGUUUUUAUCCCAAGUCCAGCAUCCAGAGGUCGUACGGAGGGAAGGAGGACAAGGACUAAUUGAAGAAGUGGCAGAAAUCGAGAAAUCCUACCAGUGGCUGGGAAAACGCUGCGUAAAGAGGCCCCUGAGUCAAUCCAGCACACUACCGCCAGCAUGGGAGGUUGGGAGAUGAGCGUGGUGUGAAUACUGAAGGGCAUCAGUGAGCAGGCUGCAGCACUGAGAGGUUUGUUUCACAUCGAGCUGGCCAGCAACAGGACACACAGUGGAGUCACUCAUUCUCUCCUUUAACAUAGAGUCGAGGAAAAGUGAGACUUAUCUGCUCUGGAACUUAUCACAAGAUUAAUCGGGUCAUUCCUACAUAUCAUCAUAAAAACUGCUGCAACUUCCUCUUAUCAAUGCGUUACAGCUCAUUGAAAUUCAAGGGAAAAAUAAAGUUCAUUUGUCCAAUGACACAACUACAUAUCAACCCGAGGUAACACAGUCUGGUUCAUUAUGACCUCUAAGCAACCUUUAGAAUUCAUAACUUAUUUAUUGUGUGGAAAGUGUUUUACUUUCUUAAUCUUUGAGCAUCCUGAUAUACUGAUUUUUAUCGCUGAUAUUUAUUUACAUUAGUCGAACAUGUGGGUCUACAUAUAAAAUCAUGAUCUAACUCAACAACAUCUUGAACUCAAAGUUUGGCCCAUGGACCUCAGCUCGGUUUUCCUCCCCUUGACUGUGAACUCAUCGGACUUAUCCAGUUACACACUUAUUUCUGUUACAUAUUUGGUCAAAGGUGUUGAUGAAUGUCUAUAACGAUGCUAUGUCAUAUACUGUGCCUUUUUCUUGUAAAUGUUUCCAAAAAAUCUCUUUAAUUUGAAUUAAUUUAGCAAU